rnacentral:lncRNA from 1 species
AGAUACUAAAAAUUAAAAGCUAACUUUGUAUCAAAUAUCGUAAAUACAAAAUUGGGCUAUUGUGAUGACGAUAAGUCCAAGAAAAAGAGGACAGCCAUAAUCAGAACAGGAACAAGGAGAAGCAUUAAAGGCGGUGGUGGCAGCGGCGGCAGCAGCAGUGGCAAAAAUAAAAGUGAUACUGUCAAUACAAUAAUAGCCAAAUUGAUUUUCUAUCUGCAAAAGCGCCGAUCAUCAAAUUUGCACGGCAACAAUGAAACACCUUUACGAAUUUUUUUUCCUUUUUUAGGGCUAUAGCUCUAGUGGGGAUGACGGUUCAAUGUUCAUAUAGAACAUAUAAGCGAUAAUUAAAUGUAUGUAAUAAACUAAUAGUCGUUUUAGGAAAUGUAUGUAAUAAACUAAUAGUCGUUUUAGGCUGUUAGUGAAUCUGAUUAAUUGUGAUGAAACAGAGGAAGUGAGCACAUGAUUGUUAAUGUGUGUUGUACUAUAACAGAUUAGCUCCUUGACUCAGUUUGUUAUAGCAAGCUAGCUGACGUGGCUCUAUCUGUUAUCUUGGUUACAAGAGCUACUACGUGCAUGUGUAAC